rnacentral:rRNA from 1 species
UUGACCUCGGAUCAGGUAGGGAUACCCGCUGAACUUAAGCAUAUCAAUAAGCGGAGGAAAAGAAACCAACAGGGAUUGCCUCAGUAACGGCGAGUGAAGCGGCAACAGCUCAAAUUUGAAAUCUGACCCCUUUGGGGCCCGAGUUGUAAUUUGUAGAGGGUGUUUCGGGCGCGGCGCCGGUCUAAAGUUCCUUGGAACAGGACGUCAUAGAGGGUGAGAAUCCCGUAUGUGACUGGCGAUCAAGCCCAUGUGAAGCCCCUUCGACGAGUCGAGUUGUUUGGGAAUGCAGCUCAAAAUGGGUGGUAAAUUCAUCUAA